rnacentral:rRNA from 1 species
GAUGAACGCUAGCGAUAGGCUUAACACAUGCCAGUCGAGGGGCAGCACAAGGUAGCUUGCUAUCUGGGUGGCGACCGGCGCACGGGUGCGUAACGCGUAUGCAACUUGCCCUAUACAGGAGGAUAACCCGUCGAAAGACGGACUAAUACUGCGUAUGCUCACAACUUGGCAUCAAGUGGUGAGGAAAGAAAUUCGGUAUAGGAUAGGCAUGCGUCCCAUUAGCUUGUUGGUGAGGUAACGGCUCACCAAGGCAACGAUGGGUAGGGGAACUGAGAGGUUUAUCCCCCACACUGGUACUGAGACACGGGCCAGACUCCUACGGGAGGCAGCAGUGAGGAAUAUUGGUCAAUGGGCGCGAGCCUGAACCAGCCAAGUCGCGUGAAGGAGGACUGUCUUAUGGAUUGUAAACUUCUUUUAUACGGGAAUAACAAGAGUCACGUGUGACUCCCUGCAUGUACCGUAUGAAUAAGCAUCGGCUAACUCCGUG